rnacentral:tRNA from 1 species
CAAAAUGUAGCUUAAUUAAAGCAUUCCGCUUACACCGCAAUUAUAUUUGUUCAACUCAAAUCAUUUUGA